rnacentral:lncRNA from 1 species
GAGAAGUGUAACUGCCACCCCAGCCCCCACCCCAUUCCAACUGACGACAGAGUGAGUCUGAGUUUAAAGAUGGUAAGAGAAUGAGCUUGGUCCCUAAGGAAAGGAGAAGUGAAUCUACUAAAUAUCUGCUGAAAAUAUUUCUGCUGCUGUGCCUGGGCUGUCCUUGCAGUAAAUAUAUCACCAGGGCGCGUAAUCUUGUUCUGUGACCUCCUGCAAAUUCCAGGGAUGUGCAGAAAUCAUCUGCUCCAAGUUCUAAGACUUCUCCAGUUCACACUGAAAAGCAGGCACCAUGGAGUGAGACCGGUUCCAUUAUCCAGUGUAAGAACACCAAGUAACUCUACAGAAGUGGUACAGCUAGCCCAGCUCAGUGUCAAACGACUCUAGAAGAGAUGCUUCCAAAGCAGGAUGAUCGAGAAGUUUCACUCCUCAUGCCAAUAAAGGGCAGUGGCCACCUGGAUUGCUGUUUUGAGAAGGAUCCCGAAGCUGAAGCUGCAAACACAAUAGGUGGGGCAGGCUUGUGACUGGUCCAUCAUGUCUGUUAUGGGCACAGGAGUGGAGACUGGCACCACAGAGAGCCUGUUUUAUCAUUCUUUUCCUAGAAGUUCUCUUGUAAUUAAUGCCUUGCUGUUGGUCACCAGAACAGCGUCCCACUGAGUUACCUACAGUCUGGGCCUUGUACCGAGC